GUUGAAACACCAGUCCUUGUACAAUCAUCGAAGUUACGCAACGUUGAGCCUGGUCAGUACCUAGAUGGGUGACCUCUUGGGAAUAUCAGAUGCUGUAAG